AAGCGUAAAUUAAGACCUGGAUUGGAUUAUAAUUAUAUGAAUCUUCUUCUUCGAUUCUAUAUGAUUUUACGAUAAUUAAUUUAGGCAUUUUACGCCCGUGUAUUUGUUUUCGUAAUUCUUUAAGGGAAUGUGACACGUUUAGGCACUUUUAGAGAAUUUUAUUCCUUUUGAGGCACUUGUCAGGGAUGAGGCACUUUUCCAACUUUUUCAUUAAACUUGUGACCAAUUUGCCCCUGAAAAUUAAAAAAUUAUAAUUAAAAAAAAAGUUUCAUCUCUCCACGUUCCUUUUUUUUCCUUCUUCUUCGUCGCUUCUUCUUCUUCUUCCUCUUCCUCUCUCUCUCUCUCUCUCUCUCUCUCUCUCUCUCUCUCUCUCUCUUCUCAUUAUUACUUUUUUUUCUUUCCUUGCAAAAUCAAACAUUUAAGAGUUUAUCAAAAUCAAACAUUUGAGAGUUUAUGGAAAACCCAAGUUGGCAAAUUCCAGUAUUAAAUUUCAUAUCCAUUUGAUCGCCUUGUUUGGUACAAUUUGAUUCUUUCUUGAUAAAUUGAUGUUUCAUUGAACGUCUAACCUUAAAAGCAUAUUCUUUUGCUUAUGAGAAUCACUUAUUUCCACAUGGUUACGUUUACGUGGACAAGUUAUCAUGGAGACAAACUAGCAUCAUUUUUUAUCUUCUCUGUCUUCCAUGUUUUUUUUUUUCAUCAUUUUUAUUUUCUUUUUCAAAAUCAUCAAUCAUGGUGGUUCUCUAUAAUUCUUACAAAUCAUAGAAAUUCUGAGAUUAUCUCAAAAUUCUCUAUCAUAACUUAAAAACGAAGAAUAUAUUAAGAAUCAACAACAGAACAUUGCUGCUACAAUUGAUCUUCUUACACGCUUUAUAUACUUAAACUUGAGUACUUGGACACUCAUCAAUGGACAACUAUGCUUCAGAUGUGAGUUACUAGAUGACCACUUGGACUAGAGUGCUUGGACACUUAUCAAUGGACAACUAUGCUUCAAAUGUGAGUUAUUAGAUGACCAUUUGGACUUGAAUGCUUGGACACUCAUCAAUGGACAACUAUGCCUCAGAUGAAGUUACAUCGACAAUGGCCUUUUUGCUGCUACUCGCGUUCUCAACAUCACGAACCGUUUCAAGCCCAGAUUGCUUAGAAGGUAACUGAUCAUGGUUAACAUCCUCACUUUUCAUUGUAAUCGAUGACAGAGAUUCCUUAAUCAAGGAGAUAAAUAAAUGGAACCAAAUCAAAUAAUUGUUGAGAGACAGGGAAGAUGAUGAUAAAUCAUAUGAAAUUGGGUUUUUAGUUUUGAUUUGGAAUAUUGAGAUUCCCGUAAAAAAUUGGUUUUGAUUUUGGAAAGAGAGAGAAAUAAAGACGAUAAAGAAAAGAGUUGAGAGAGAAAAUGAGGAGAAAGCGUUGUGGUUCAGAGGGCAAUUUGGGAAUUUUGAUUUGGUAAAGUGUCUUCUCCUUUCAAAGUGCCUAUUUGUGGCUAAAGUUUCAAAAUAGUGCCUCUACGUGUAAUAUUCUCAUUCUUUAAUUUUAUUUUUAAAGAAUACUAAAUUCCUAAUCCCGCCAUCUGGCAGUAUUGUUGGGUUGGAGGGUGAUAUAUGGCCCAUUUAACAGUCCCCUCAGGCCCAUUCACCCUUGGAUAUAUAUAGAAUUGUUUGAAAUAUGUACAGAUUUCUCAAGAUAAAUAAUC
rnacentral:sRNA from 1 species